UACGUAGGGGGCAAGCGUUGUCCGGAAUUAUUGGGCGUAAAGCGCGCGCAGGCGGUUCUUUAAGUCUGGUGUCUAAGUGCGGGGCUCAACCCCGUGAUGCACUGGAAACUGGGGAACUUGAGUGCAGAAGAGGAGAGCGGAAUUCCACGUGUAGCGGUGAAAUGCGUAGAGAUGUGGAGGAACACCAGUGGCGAAAGCGGCUUUCUGGUCCUUAACUGACGCUGAGGCGCGAAAGCAUGGGGAGCGAACGGG
rnacentral:rRNA from 1 species